rnacentral:rRNA from 1 species
AUACGUAGGUGGCAAGCGUUGUCCGGAAUUAUUGGGCGUAAAGGGCACGCAGGCGGUCUUAUAAGUCUGAUGUGAAAUCUCGCGGCUUAACCGCGAGCGGUCAUUGGAAACUGUAGGACUUGAGUACAGAAGAGGAGAGUGGAAUUCCACGUGUAGCGGUGAAAUGCGUAGAUAUGUGGAGGAACACCAGUGGCGAAGGCGGCUCUCUGGUCUGUGACUGACGCUGAGGUGCGAAAGCGUGGGUAGCAAACAGGAUUAGAUACCCUGGUAGUCCACGCCGUAAACGAUGAGUGCUAGGUGUUGGGGGGCACGCCCCUCAGUGCUGAAGUAAACACAUUAAGCACUCCGCCUGGGGAGUACGGCCGCAAGGCUGAA